GGUUCGGUAGUUCAGUUGGUUAGAAUACCUGCCUGUCACGCAGGGGGUCGCGGGUUCGAGUCCCGUCC
rnacentral:tRNA from 1 species